rnacentral:pre_miRNA from 1 species
AGUGGAAGUGCUGGUCAUGUGGUAAGUUUAUGUUUAACUUUUUAAAAAAUUGCCAAACUGUUUUCCAAAGUGGCUGUACCAUUUUAUAUUCCCAUGAGCAGU